GAUGUCACGUCCGGCGGCGGCGGCAGCGGCGCUGAGUUUUGUCUCCCGGGCUGUCGGGGCACGCGCAGGUGUCCCCGGUGUCCCAGGUGUCCCGCCGCCUCCUUGGUUCCCGCAGGACUCGCCCCUCCUGGCCCUGGGCCCCAACGGUGCCCGCCUGCCCGGCGGUCGGCCAGCGCACAGGGCACUGCUUCCUCUGCUUCUCCCGGACCACUUAGUCUCAACCCGGGUGUGUUUCCGCUACUAGAGAAUGAAAUAUGACUGAGGACUCUCAGAGAAACUUUCGUUCAGUAUAUUAUGAGAAAGUGGGGUUUCGUGGAGUUGAAGAAAAGAAAUCAUUAGAAAUUCUCCUAAAAGAUGACCGUCUGGAUACUGAGAAACUUUGUACUUUUAGUCAGAGGUUCCCUCUCCCGUCCAUGUACCGUGCAUUGGUAUGGAAGGUGCUUCUAGGAAUCCUGCCUCCACACCAUGAGUCCCAUGCCAAGGUGAUGAUGUAUCGUAAGGAGCAGUACUUGGAUGUCCUUCAUGCCCUGAAAGUUGUUCGCUUUGUUAGUGAUGCCACACCUCAGGCUGAAGUCUAUCUCCGCAUGUAUCAGCUGGAGUCUGGGAAGUUACCUCGAAGUCCCUCUUUUCCACUGGAGCCAGAAGAUGAAGUAUUUCUUGCCAUAGCUAAAGCCAUGGAGGAAAUGGUGGAAGAUAGUGUCGACUGUUACUGGAUCACCCGACGCUUCGUGAACCAAUUAAAUACCAAGUACCGGGAUUCUUUGCCCCAGUUGCCAAAAGCGUUUGAACAAUACUUGAAUCUGGAAGAUGGCAGACUGCUGACUCAUCUGAAGAUGUGUUCCGCAGCGCCCAAACUUCCUUAUGAUCUCUGGUUCAAGAGGUGCUUUGCGGGAUGUUUGCCUGAAUCCAGUUUACAGAGGCAAGUAUGUCUUUCGAAGACAUAUUGAAGGCUUGGCGUUAGAGCAGAGUUCUGGCCUUUCAUGUGGUCAUCCCUCAGAGUAUAAAUUUGCUUUAGGACAAUACAGUAAUUUGAAGCUCAAUCCUCCAGCAGCUACCAUAACAGCACAUGAUUCUGCUUAUUCUUGAAUAUACAAUUAGAAAAGUUAAGGGCCCUCAGUGCAUUAGAUGCUGUGAAGUAGUCACACCUCAAAUGGUCUCCAUAAGUUUAUAUAAGCAUCAGCUCCUUUUUUCCAGAAAUGUGACAGAUCCUCCUCUAGUAGAAAUCUUAGUAUUAGUUUCAUCAUCAUAUCUUUAAAGAAGCUGAAGGCAGUCAAAGAUUUGAGACUAAAACUAAGUUCUUCCAGUCAGUUUCAGACAUGUCUGGGUAUUUCGGAGUCCAGGUGCCACCCAUUAAGACUUUGUGAUGUAGUAGAAUAGUAACUCUUAAAAUAAGUUAUGGCACUGAACAGUGCAGUACACAGAGAACAUUAUAAGAUAAUAUGUAACUAAGUGUAUGAAGUAGAAUACCAACUUUUAAGAGUUAUAGGAAUGAUCAGAAUUAUUAUUUUAGAGUGGUUAUAGAUCAGUAACUGGCUCCUUAAGCCCUUAGAGAAGUUUAAGGAGUCUGUUCCCAGAAUCACUGGCAAUGAAAUUGAAUUUAUCUCAUUUCGUAUACAUCUUUUGUUAUCCUUUAGUAGGCUAUAAUUAUAUUAGCAUUACAGAAUAUUAGCAGAAUAUGAACCAUUAGUUUAGGAUUUUCUUUUUCUUCCUCAAAAAUGUCAGGUUCACAACAUGAGGGAAUAUGAUUUUGGUAGAUUCCUAGUGGAACAGUAAUUUUUAGUGAACUUUCCUUUUUCCUUCUAGUGCUGAUUGUAUCUAGAAUAGAUUUCAAAUGGCUUCUGUAUUUUGUUGUUGUUUUGAUGAUUGUUUCAUAAAAGUUGUU
rnacentral:sRNA from 1 species